CAUCAUAUGUAUACACACACAUGUGGUUAUCUUGACCCACAAGAUUAACCUUGAACUAUUCCUUCAAGGGUAUUGUCUCACUAGAUGAUCCUCCCUAUCACCUCACAGAGAAAGAGUCAGCCUUCUGCAAUAUUUGGAAUCAUAUUUUCCCCCAAAUGCAGUUGUAGUAGAGUAAAAUAAAUAGUAGAUUUAGAGGUGGGGUUUAUGCCCCGACUCUUGUCAACAACCCAGUUCACCUGUUACUAAAAGGACCUUUCAUUUAAGCUUUCAGAGCCUCAAUUUUGCCAUCCUUAAAAUGGAAACAAUAGUAUUUUUUCUUAUUAUGUAGCUCAUUUAAUUAAAAAAUAUUUAAUAACGUAGUCUUUGAGGAAAGCACUGGAUAAAAACUCUAACAUUAAACAAGUACAAGACCUUGUAGGACAUGCUGUGAUAUUUUACCACACCAUGACUUUAUCAGUCCCUAUAGUUCUAACAAUGCCCAAACAGUAAUCAUUUGGUCACUGGUAGUUCUUACUUCUUACUCCGUGUGACUGGAGAGGGCCUGCCCAAUGUGAUGUAAAUGUGGCCAAAGUACCAAAACCCUCUGGACGCAGUGACUGGUUCGGGAAUGAUUCUUCUAAGAUGAAACCAGAUAAGUAAAUACUUGAUUCUGGAAUUUAUUGGGCAGGGACUCUCUUUCAAUGAGAAGUAAGGACAUUAGGAAGUAAGUCUGGAGGUGCUAAUGGUCAUCUUAUCAGCACGUAGACUGAUUUAUUGAAGCUAACUAUAAACUAACUACUGAAACUAACACAGAGAACAGCAGGAGAUGGAGAAGAACAUAUCCUGAAUUACAGCAUUGGAAUCCCUGGAUUUAUCACCCCUGAGGUUUCACUUGUGUGCUUUUUAAUUAUCCAGCCCAUGGAUUUCUUUUCCACUUUAGACUUCGGAGUUGAGUUUCUGUCACUUGCAGUGAAAAGAGCCUUGACUGAUUCGCUUACUUCUCACUAUGAAGGAGAUGCUCUAUAAAGAGUCCAUGGCCAAGCUAUGUAUGACUCAUGCUUGCAUCAAUAGACCCAGUGCUAAAUGCCAGUGAUAUGGUUGCGUGAUGGCCUUCACCCCAUCUUCUGUGCGUAGCUAGACUGCUUAAUAGACCUUGAGCCUGGAUCUUCAGAGUCUAGGAUCUCAGUCAGCACCACAGCCCAUCUAAACCCAGCCAAUAGGUGAGUCUGCUCUUUUGUCAGGUUGACCCCUGCUUUUAACCCAAGGGCUAGAAUAUGCUUCUAAUAAAUCCCUGUAAAAUCCUUUCUGAUGACUCAACUCCUCCCUGAUUCAUUCGAGAUUUCUUACUGGGUGCAGAAGCUUAAAUAUUGCCUGAAUCGUACUCUCCCCUAAACCCCCAUUGGCUCUCUCAGACUUUGGUGCCUGGACUGGAUUUGAGCUUGCUCUGAAUUACUCCUGACUAUAACACCGAAUUUGAACUUCUGACCACCAUCCUCCUCUACCAGAAUAGGACCAAACUUUCUUUCUCAGUUUUUCCUGGCUUCUGGACAAUUCUUACUUACCCUUCUACCAUUCUUUGGGAGUGAUGAAACCAAUUUCAUUUAUAGAUCUCUACACUUAGAUAUAGCAAGGCUAAAUCAGGAUCUUGAAUGUACUUUUUAAAACUAAAUGAGAUUUUCAAUUUUUCAUGUACCAAGUGCCUAUCCCCCACCCACAACCUUGAAAUCAGAAUCAUGUUGGAGUUCUCUGGCCAGACUCUACUUGGGAAACCAGCCAAAGGAAAUCUCUGCAAUAGAUUGGUCCGGCCCCAAUUAUGGCAGAGGAGCAGGAGUACACAUUACUCCAACAAAAGAAGACCUGCCCAGAGUCAUCCAGCACAUCUCAUGCUGGCCCUGCCAAUGCAGGAAAAGUGGAGAAUGCCCACUGAAGACAGGAGUGACUUCAUGCUCCAUCCCUGGAAUUGCCUCUGAACUCAUCCUAGGAGUGGACGUUGGGUGCUAAUCAAGAGGACUUUGAUGAUUGUUGGUAAAUUUGGGCAAAUGGGUCCUUUGCCUGGACAACUCUUCUCAUUUGCAGACAGUGAAGAUCCCUGAUUUAAUGAAGCUCAUGUUCCUAUGGAAGAAGAGAGACAACAAACAAGUAAACAAGGUCAUCACAUCUGCCUAGGCACCUCCUGGUAUUUGUGAGGCUUUCAUUCAACAGAUUUCCUAAGCAUCAACCUUGUGCUAGGCACAGGGCUAAGGCUUGGGACCUAAAGAUAAACACAGAACACCCUGUUUUCAUGGAUUACCAUCCCCCUCCUCACCACCACUCCUGUUCCAUGAGGUUGGCUGAGAUUGAUUCCAGAGGCCAUGUCAUAGGUUCAUACCUAAUCAACACCAGGUGACCUGAGGCAUGCCUGUGAUAUCACCGCUGGGCCUCUAAUCCUGCUCCACCCCUGACUCAGGCUUCUGAUACAGCUCGGGGGAGGGGGGGGCGGGGGGGGCAUCCUCUGUGCUGGGUCUUAGCUGCCUGGAGCUCCCACAUCCCAACAUUGAACCUGGGUGGAUUUUCUGGGCAGCCUCUGAUGCUUUGGGUCUUUUGCCUUUCAAACUACCCUCUCUCAGUCAAGCAGGUCUUGGUAAGGAAAAGAGCUACUUUUGGUAAGGAUUUUAGACUGUAGUCUAAGGGCAACAGGAAGCUUUUGAAGAUUUUAAGCAAGCGAGGUGCAUAAUCUGCAGAAUAUGAACUAGGAGGGAGGGGUGGAAGAGUGACUUUCAGAGUGACUAUUACGGCAGCCCCUGGGGGAGAUGCGGUAGGCCUGGACGGGGGUGCUGGCACGGUGGGUGGGGGCUUCAGAUACCAUGACAGUGAAUAAUGAUAAUCAUAAACAUUGAUAUACUCCUGUGGAGUUUACAUUGCAAACGCUUUUACAUUCUUUGUCAAUUAAUGUUUACAACCCUGGGUAGAAUUUCCAUUUUGCAAAUGAGAAAAACUGGAGCCAUAGGAAAUUAAGUGAAUGGCUCCGGGCUAAGUAGCAUAAUUUUAACCCAAGCAUUUUGAUUCCAAAUCCAAUGUGCUUUUCCAGUGCCCGACUGCAAGAUUAAGGGGGAGAUAUAUGUUAAUGAUUUGGUCUCUUACCCUUUGGGUUAAUGGUUUUCAGAAAUUACUAUACUUACAAGCUUACAAAUACAGAUUCCCGGGCCCCACCCUUGGAGGUUCUGACUCCGUUUCUGGCGUGUGGGGGUGGGCGGGCAGAGCUCUGUAGCACCCUGGGGGGGGAUGUAAGGAAAGGGGCUUGAACUAGAACUGCCAUGGUCUUUGCUUGUUUUCCCAAUUCCCAUGCACAGGCAACACUGAAUGGGGACCAUUUUUCUCCAAGUACAUGUACGAUGAUUCAAAAAUGGAUAUAGAUUUUUUUUUUACCAAUUUUUUAAAAGAUUCAUUUAUUUAUU